GGAGGAUGAGGGAUACGGCAAAAAUGAAAACUUUUAGAUCUGCGUUAGUAGUAAUUGGUGCGGUAGCAUUUGGGUAUCUGAAUUUGCAGAUCAUGUUCAAACCCUUUCUAGAGAAAACACAAGCACAGCAAGCUCUUCUACAAUCUCAAUCAUCACAACAACAAAACCAGACUGAUUUUCAUCAAUCUGAGUCAGAACAAAACUGAUGACCCUUUCAAUUUGUUCUCAAUUUUCAGCUCUGUAGCUCUUUUUUUUAAAAAAAAAUCAAUAUUUAAGCUU
rnacentral:misc_RNA from 1 species